rnacentral:rRNA from 1 species
UGGGCAACCUGCCCUGUACUGGGGAAUAAUCAUUGGAAACGAUGACUAAUACCGCAUGUGGUCCUCGGAAGGCAUCUUCUGAGGAAGAAAGGAUUUAUUUGGUACAGGAUGGGCCCGCAUCUGAUUAGCUAGUUGGUGAGAUAACAGCCCGCCAAGGCGACGAUCAGUAGCCGACCUGAGAGGGUGAUCGGCCACAUUAGGACUGAGACACGGCCCAA